CCACUUUAGAAGAACAGAACCUGGGAAAAUACAUACUCACACUGCUUGAUACUUCUGUUCACCCUAGUGAGAAGUCUACAGUCUGCAACUCAGCAGAGGGAGCUCACCAGAACUAACCAUGUUGGCACCCCCUUCUCAAUGGACUUUCAGGACCCAGAAACUGUCUGGAAUAAUGAGAUAAAAGCUGUGCUGUGCCUCACUGUUUCUCCACGGGGUGCCAUAAAGACUGUGGCUAGAAUGAAGAGGGGAAAUCGGAGGGGGAGACGAACCAUGAGAGACUACAGACUCUGAGAAAC